rnacentral:tRNA from 1 species
GGGCGGUUAGCUCAGCUGGAUAGAGUACAGGCCUCCGAAGCCUGGGGUCGUGAGUUCGAAUCUCAUGCCGCCCGCCA